UACGUAGGUGGCAAGCGUUGUCCGGAUUUAUUGGGUUUAAAGGGUGCGUAGGCGGUCCUUUAAGUCAGUGCUGAAAUACUCCAGCUUAACUGGAGGGGUGGCAUUGAUACUGGGGGACUUGAAUGAAGUCGAGGUAGGCGGAAUUGACGGUGUAGCGGUGAAAUGCUUAGAUAUCGUCAAGAACACCGAUAGUGAAGACAGCUUACUAGGCUUAGAUUGACGCUGAGGCACGAAAGUGUGGGGAUCAAACAGGA
rnacentral:rRNA from 1 species